rnacentral:misc_RNA from 1 species
GAUGAAGAACGUAGCGAAAUGCGAUAAGUAAUGUGAAUUGCAGAAUUCAGUGAAUCAUCGAAUCUUUGAACGCACAUUGCGCCCGCCAGUAUUCUGGCGGGCAUUCCUGUUCGAGCGUCAUUUCAACCAUCAAGCCCCAGGCUUGUGUUGGGGACCUGCGGCUGCCGCAGGCCCUGAAAACCAGUGGCGGGCUCGCUGUCACACCGGGCGUAGUAGAUUUUAUCUCGCUCAGGGCGUGCUGCGGGUUCCGGCCGUUAAAAAGCCUUUUUUACCCAAGGUUGACCUCGGAUCAGGUAGGAAGACCCGCUGAACUUAAGCAUAUCAAUAAGCGGAGGA